rnacentral:antisense_RNA from 1 species
ACUAGGAAGGUGGGACGUUGGAGGGGCGGCCGCAUGGAGUAAGUACUGUCUCUGGCCACCCAGCAGAGCCAGUGACAGUAGCGUCAUGGUAGGCAGGCAGGCGUAUCAGGUUUCAGAGGAUGCGGCUGGGAACGGGAGUAGAGGUGAGGGGACGUUGCAUCUGUCGCGGUGUGUAUCUUUUGGGGGUUCAGCGCCACCAGCGACCUGGGCCUCAUUCAUCGCGCUUACAUUUCUCCACCUCAUUUGAAGAACGAGCUUGGUAGCCCACGGAGCUGAGGUAUAUGAGCUCCCUGAAAGCACAAAGCAGUUAUUUCAAUCUUCAGAUCAUUCAGAGAUUAUGAAGGCACAAACCCUGCCUUCAAUUUGCUUAUAGUCAAGUGGAGCAGACACAAGUCAAUGAUGGCAGUAUAGCCACUUAAGUAAUCUAAAAGAGGUGGGGAGGCCACAGCUCAUGUGAAUGACUUUCUCAGGAGUUAUAAAGUGAUACAGACUUAUCAGCAGGUUGCAGGUGAACAUGGCCUUGAGGUAAAUCUGUCCCUUGCUGAAUACAGUUUCAGUAGAUUGUUUAUAGUAGUUUCAGGAAUUGAGAUUUUUUACAAAAAUACAAAAGUUUUGCUUGGUUCUGUUCUAGAUGUUUUUCUUCUAAAUAAAUGAGAAAGAUGUUUCAACAAAGGCUCUUUAUGCUGAAUAAUUGUGAUGCUUGAAGUUGCUAAUCUGCUUUAAGUGGAUUUUAAAUGUCAGACAAUUCUAGACAGUUUUUUCUUGGUCAAAUAAAAAUUUAAUUAAAACUU